rnacentral:rRNA from 1 species
GUCCACGCCGUAAACGAUGUCAACUAGCCGUUGGUUCUAUAUACAGAAUUAGUGGCGCAGCUAACGCAUUAAGUUGACCGCCUGGGGAGUACGGCCGCAAGGUUAAAACUCAAAUGAAUUGACGGGGGCCCGCACAAGCGGUGGAGCAUGUGGUUUAAUUCGAUGCAACGCGAAGAACCUUACCUACCCUUGACAUCCAGAGAAUCUGUUAGAGAUAGUGGAGUGCCUUCGGGAACUCUGAGACAGGUGCUGCAUGGCUGUCGU